GACAGAGGUUGCAAGCGUUGUUCGGAAUCACUGGGCGUAAAGGGCGUGUAGGCGGCGGAGUGUGUCUGACGUGAAAUCCCUCGGCUUAACCGGGGAACGGCGUCGGAAACUGCUUUGCUUGAGUGCGAGAGAGGAUGGCAGAAUUCCCAGAGUAGAGGUGAAAUUCGUAGAUACUGGGAGGAAUACCUGAGGCGAAGGCGGCCAUCUGGUUCGUAACUGACGCUGAGACGCGAAAGCGUGGGGAGCAAACAGG
rnacentral:rRNA from 1 species